AAGUCGUAACAAGGUUUCCGAAGGUGAACCUGCGGAAGCAACGUUAAAACAACCCUGUGAACCUUCAGCGUCUUGCAGGACAUCAAAACAGCAAUCCCGAGUAAAUGAGGCGCUAAAGAAUUACAGAUUUUGAUUUCGGGAAGUUCUGUGUGUACGUGGCCGCUGCAAUUGAGCGCUAGAUAAAGCACCCUGGUACCCUAAAGGGAUCAAUGUUCGGGGUGGCGCAGUCAACGAUCUGUAGGUCCGCACGACCGGCGACGGGGUGGAGGCGAAAGCCCCUACUUCAUCCCUAUGUACCCUCCGGGACUUGGCGAAAGCUGACUCCGUCAUAAAUCGAACACUGUUAACAAUGGAUAUCUUGGUUCUC
rnacentral:misc_RNA from 1 species